AGAGGCAAAAAAAUAUAAAACAAAAAUCAACCUUCAACUUUCUCCCUCACCGCUCCAUGUGCGUCCCUCCCGAAGCUGAGCGCUCGGUAGAAGAGGACAAUCUUCCCCAAUAGAGGAGGACCGUUCUUAGGUCAAGGGUAUUCGAGUAGCUGCGCUCCCCUGCUAGAACCUCCAAACAAGCUCUCAAAAAUCAACAUUCAAAAUUUGCUAACAUUCCAGAUUUAAAAAUGUGGAUGUGUAACCGAUGUGAUUCUGCAAUCU
rnacentral:snRNA from 1 species